GUGCUUGCUUCGGCAACACAUAUACUAAAAUUGGAACAAUACAGAGAAGAUUAACUUGGCCCCUGCAUAAGGAUGACAUGCAAAUUUGUGAAGCAUUCCAUUAAAUG
rnacentral:snRNA from 1 species